GAUGAACGCUAGCGGGAGGCCUAACACAUGCAAGCCGAGCGGUAGAGUUUCUUCUGAAACUUGAGAGCGGCGCACGGUUGCGUAACACUUGUGCAACCUACCUUUAUCUGUUGUAUAUCCUUUCUAAAGGAAGUUUAAUACCCCAUAAUAUAAUUAUUUGCAUCAAUUAUUAUUGAUAACUCCUGUGGUUUGUUAUGUGCACGCGCAAGAUUAGAUAGUUGGUUAGGUAACUGCUCACCAAGUCAAUGAUCUUUAGGUGUCCUGAGAGGGAGAUCACCCACAAGGGUACUGAGAAACGGAACAGAAUCAUACGGGAGGCAGCAGUGAGGAAGAUUGGACAAUGGGUGAGAGAAUGAUCAAGCCAUCCAGCGUGAAGGAUGACGGUCAUAUGGAUUGUAAACUUCUUUUGAAAAGGGAUAAACCUACCAACGUGAGGGUAGAUGAAGGUACUGAACGAAUAAGCACCGGCUAACUACGUG
rnacentral:rRNA from 1 species